rnacentral:siRNA from 1 species
AUGCCAUAUCCUAUAUAAGUACGU